GAGUUUGAUCCUGGCUCAGGACGAACGCUGGCGGCGCGCCUAACACAUGCAAGUCGAACGAGCGAGAGAGAGCUUGCUUUCUCGAGCGAGUGGCGAACGGGUGAGUAACGCGUGAGGAACCUGCCUCAAAGAGGGGGACAACAGUUGGAAACGACUGCUAAUACCGCAUAAGCCCACAGGUCGGCAUCGACCAGAGGGAAAAGGAGCAAUCCGCUUUGAGAUGGCCUCGCGUCCGAUUAGCUAGUUGGUGAGGUAACGGCCCACCAAGGCAACGAUCGGUAGCCGGACUGAGAGGUUGAACGGCCACAUUGGGACUGAGACACGGCCCAGACUCCUACGGGAGGCAGCAGUGGGGAAUAUUGCGCAAUGGGCGAAGGCCUGACCCAGCAACGCCGCGUGAGGGAAGAAGGCUUUCGGGUUGUAAACCUCUGUCCUUGGUGACGAAGGAAGUGACGGUAGCCAAGGAGGAAGCCCCGGCUAACUACGUGCCAGCCGCCGCGGUAAUUC
rnacentral:rRNA from 1 species